UGAAAAGUGAGUUGGAAACCUCUUGAUUCUGCUGUCAGAGUUUCCUACUCAAUUCAUGCUGCUGCUGUGAAUGGCCUGUUGCUUUCUGAACAUGUGAUCAACAGCCUGAUGGCCUUUUAUCGCUGUAGGUAUUUCAGGUCCUGCUAGGAACAUCAAAACUUUAGUCCUUCAGAAAUGUGUUAAAGUUCUUCUCUUCCUAUGGCAAACAUAUGUGAAGUUAAUGUUUAAAACGAAUUAUUAAAAUAAGAGUGCCUAAAAGGAAUUAUUACCAGCCAUUGCAAGAUGCUACAAUGAGAAUUUUAAACUUUACUUUUGUUAUAUUACCUUUAGUUGAGUUAGUUAUAUUUUCAUUUCUUAUUGCCCAUUUUACUGUAAAGUUCUCUCCUUUCCCCCUAAGGAAUUCUAUGGCAAAUGCAUUUGGUGUUCUCAUUAUUAAGUUUCACAGUGUCUGUUCUAACAAUAGAGAACCCCCCUCAUGUCUCAUCCUGGCGCUCCUCUUCUCUUCUCUUCUCUUCUCUUCUCUUCUCUUCUCUUCUCUUCUCUUCUCUUCUCUUCUC
rnacentral:lncRNA from 1 species